AACGAACGCUGGCGGCAGGCCUAAUACAUGCAAGUCGAACGAUCACUUCGGUGGUAGUGGCGCACGGGUGCGUAACGCGUGGGAAUCUGCCCUUGGGUUCGGAAUAACAGCGGGAAACUGCUGCUAAUACCGGAUGAUGACGAAAGUCCAAAGAUUUAUCGCCCAAGGAUGAGCCCGCGUAGGAUUAGGUAGUUGGUGAGGUAAAGGCUCACCAAGCCGACGAUCCUUAGCUGGUCUGAGAGGAUGAUCAGCCACACUGGGACUGAGACACGGCCCAGACUCCUACGGGAGGCAGCAGUAGGGAAUAUUGGACAAUGGGGGCAACCCUGAUCCAGCAAUGCCGCGUGAGUGAUGAAGGCCUUAGGGUUGUAAAGCUCUUUUACCCGAGAUGAUAAAUGACAGUAUCGGGAGAAUAAGCUCCGGCUAAACUCCGUGCCAGCAGCCGCGGUAAAUAGUCAACGUCG
rnacentral:rRNA from 1 species